rnacentral:rRNA from 1 species
GACGAACGCUGGCGGCAUGCCUAAUACAUGCAAGUCGAGCGGAGUUGAUGGAAAGCUUGCUUUCCUGAUACUUAGCGGCGGACGGGUGAGUAACACGUAGGCAACCUGCCCUCAAGCUUGGGACAACUACCGGAAACGGUAGCUAAUACCGAAUACUUGUUUUCUUCGCCUGAAGAGAACUGGAAAGACGGAGCAAUCUGUCACUUGGGGAUGGGCCUGCGGCGCAUUAGCUAGUUGGUGAGGUAACGGCUCACCAAGGCGACGAUGCGUAGCCGACCUGAGAGGGUGAUCGGCCACACUGGGACUGAGACACGGCCCAGACUCCUACGGGAGGCAGCAGUAGGGAAUCUUCCGCAAUGGGCGAAAGCCUGACGGAGCAAUGCCGCGUGAGUGAUGAAGGUUUUCGGAUCGUAAAGCUCUGUUGCCAGGGAAGAACGCUUGGGAGAGUAACUGCUCCCAAGGUGACGGUACCUGAGAAGAAAGCCCCAGCUAACUCUGUGCCAGCAGCCGCCGUAA